rnacentral:rRNA from 1 species
ACUGCAGUCGAGCGGAAGAUGGGAGCUUGCUCCCUGAUGUUAGCGGCGGACGGGUGAGUAACACGUGGGUAACCUGCCUGUAAGACUGGGAUAACUCCGGGAAACCGGGGCUAAUACCGGAUGGUUGUUUGAACCGCAUGGUUCAGACAUAAAAGGUGGCUUCGGCUACCACUUACAGAUGGACCCGCGGCGCAUUAGCUAGUUGGUGAGGUAACGGCUCACCAAGGCGACGAUGCGUAGCCGACCUGAGAGGGUGAUCGGCCACACUGGGACUGAGACACGGCCCAGACUCCUACGGGAGGCAGCAGUAGGGAAUCUUCCGCAAUGGACGAAAGUCUGACGGAGCAACGCCGCGUGAGUGAUGAAGGUUUUCGGAUCGUAAAGCUCUGUUGUUAGGGAAGAACAAGUGCCGUUCAAAUAGGGCGGCACCUUGACGGUACCUAACCAGAAAGCCACGGCUAACUACGUGCCAGCAGCCGCGGUAAUACGUAGGUGGCAAGCGUUGUCCGGAAUUAUUGGGCGUAAAGGGCUCGCAGGCGGUUUCUUAAGUCUGAUGUGAAAGCCCCCGGCUCAACCGGGGAGGGUCAUUGGAAACUGGGGAACUUGAGUGCAGAAGAGGAGAGUGGAAUUCCACGUGUAGCGGUGAAAUGCGUAGAGAUGUGGAGGAACACCAGUGGCGAAGGCGACUCUCUGGUCUGUAACUGACGCUGAGGAGCGAAAGCGUGGGGAGCGAACAGGAUUAGAUACCCUGGUAGUCCACGCCGUAAACGAUGAGUGCUAAGUGUUAGGGGGUUUCCGCCCCUUAGUGCUGCAGCUAACGCAUUAAGCACUCCGCCUGGGGAGGACGGGCGCAAGACUGAAACUCAAAGGAAUUGACGGGGGCCCGCACAAGCGGUGGAACAUGUGGGUUUAUU